rnacentral:lncRNA from 1 species
GAAACAUUGUUUUCCGACUCCGAACCAUCAUUAUGUAUAAUUGAUUUUUACCACUAAUGUUGUUCUAAUAAAUGCGUGCUCGCCUGUUCUCGCGCCACAAUCAGUCAACUGACGAGCACUUGUUUAAUGUUGUUAUGUGGUAAAUAAACGUUUCUUUAUUACUUUAUCAUUAAACCUCGUGUUUUGGUGUAACCCGCCAAAACACUUAUUGUUUUACCAUCAACAACGUAUUUAGUUAUCAGUAUAAUAACACAGCUAACCUAAAAUAUGAUAACAAAGACGUUUUACAUUUAAACUGAUAAAAUACCCAGCUACCCAAGAUAUCUUGAUAUCUUCUAAAGUUAUUUACUAAUUAUUAGGUACUUGAAAUUUAAUAAAUAAAUAAUAAAUCAAACAUGGCGGAAAAAGGAACUGAUACCGAAGAAUCACAAAUUCUUGAACACAUGCGAAAUUUCAUAAGAGAUUUGAUUUUGGUAAAACUUGAAAUAAGUGUAAUCAUUUGAAUCAGUUAAGUAAUAUAUGUAAAUUUAAAUUGGGCACAUACAGCAAAGUAAAGCAAGUUAAUAAUUAUAUUUAUUAAUUUUUGUAGAUUAUUUAUUUUAUUUAAUGGUUUAUUAUGAUUUAUUACUAUAAUUAAAAUUGUUUAAUCUUUAAUCUUCAACAAUAAAAUUAUAAAUACAAAUUGUAAACCUUAAUUAAUUUUAUCAAUAAAAAAUGUUAAUAAAUUUAUAUGUUUAAAUUCGCAGAGAUAUUUUUUUAAAAUAUAAACUUAUAAAUUACUUUACUAAUUAACUAUACUAGUUAUAUUGUCAUUUUUUCUGAAUUUUUUUGUCUCAUCAUAAUGAUAUUGGAAAUGUAUAUUUUAUUUUUGGUGUAUGAUCUGAAAUAACAGUUUAUUAUUCAUUUACAGACCAAGAAAAAAACCAAAAAAUCAGCCAAAGGAAUUUUGAUGCCUAUCAUUUAUGAUUUGAGAAAUCAAGGUAAAACGGAUUGUAAAUGUGGCAGAUAUAGAUUUAUCAGUUGUUCCGUUGAUAUGAAUGUCAAAAUUAAAAUGAAAUAGCUGACAUUUAUAAGUUUAAAUCACAAUGAAUUGCUGAAGAAAGAAGUUAUUCAUCUGCGUCAUAACUUGCGUGUAGAUGAAAAUACAAAAAAAUGUCUGUGGUAGAAAUAGUUUAAAUUUCUAGAUAUUUUAAUCAAUCAAUUGUCGCACAAGAAACGCUAGGCAGGAUAGCUAGUUAAUAAAUAUAAUUUUUUAAAAAAAAAAAAAAAUUUGUAACAUAAAUAAAAAUAAAUAAUACAUUUUUACAAGCUUAAAAAAAAUUAAAAUCUUUCAGUGCUUUUUAUAUAUAAUAAUAAAUAAACAACUGUACAUUCAAAUUUCUAGCUUAUUUUCAAAAUGACAUAAAUUUAACAUAGUUCUAAAAAAAAUCCUCAAAAUUAAAGUCUUAAUACCUGAUCGCACAAAGAACGUUCUAUAAAGAUUUUUACAAUACUAUAUAUACAAUAAAUUAAAUAUUGUAUUGAUUUACACUUAAUUAAUGUUUUUAUAAAAAUCAUAUUUUUGUAAAUUUUAAUCUUGAAAUCGAGGUAUUUAUAUUUAUGCCAUUCUAAAUAUACUUAGCAUUAUAUCUUCUAGAAACCAUGAUUUAUUAACUAAAAAUCGACGACCAAUGUAUUCAUGAUUAGGAUAUUUAUUUAAAUAGAAAAAUAAUCACAAUUAAUUUACUAUUAAUCCAAUUCUAUUUAAAUGAAUAAAUAAAUACUUAGGUAACACAUUUACAUCUUGAAAUAAUAAAAAUUAUGAAACAAACUUUAAAAAUAAAUUCUUGAUAUUUAGAUAUGAAUUAUAAAAAGCAUUCCUAUCAAUUAGGCUUCAGCUUGCCCUUAUUUAAACACUUAUUAUUUAUAAAUUUAAAGAUAAUUAUUUAAAUUUUUUAAGUGUUUUUACGUUAGUGUAAAAUUGUUAUUUAAACAUUUAUUUAGAAAUACAAAAUUUUUAAAAAUCCUUUUAUUAUGAACCAUAUAUAAAAUGCACAUAAAUAUUUUUUAUUGAAAACAAUAAUUAUUUUUUAGUUUCUAAUUUGUAUGUAUCAGCCUACUUUUAAUUAAAAAAACGUGUGCUUUAUACCUGGUCGCUCGAAUCUUAUAGCGUUUGGUUAUUAUUGUAGGAUAUAGAUUUAAACCGUAGACUAGUAUAUGAAACUGGAAUAUCCAUUUUUUACCAUGUUUUAUUAAUUUUUUCAGUGCCGGGAUAUAUUUGACGGGACGGCUAUAGAUGUUUGAAAGUCUAAUAUUGUGUGGAUAUUUUAACUUUCUCUAUGUCAUAUCAAAUGACUUAAUAUUGUUAUCAUUAUUGUUUGUCUGUUAUAGUUUAGUAUCCAUAUGUUAACACGAGUUUCGAAAAAAAAAAAUGCAUUUUGGGUGUACCUAGAGGCCUGUACCAAUGCUUACUUGGACUAUUUUAAUAUAUACAUUUUUUUUCAGAAAUCUUGCUCUGAUGUUCUCAUUGUAGCUCUUUUUUUGAAAUGGGUUUUGUUUUAUUUUGCUUCAAUAAAAAUGUUUGAACAGGCUUGAAGUUUGGAAAAAUAUUUUUGUAGGUUCUCUGUUCAUUAAAUUGUUAGACUAACAGAAAUGCAUACAUAAAUUUUAAUUAUAAGUCGUUCUUUAUGUUAAAAAAUAUUUUGAGUACAACGUAGAAUUUUUUUUAAGAAUGUGCAUAUCAUAGAUUAACGAAAAUUAAAAAUUGUAAAAAUUAUGAAGGUAUUUUUUGAUGUAUGACUAUUUUUUAAUUCAUCCAUUUCCAAGUGGCUGUUAUGCAUAUGUAAUUUUUUACCGUAGUAUGAAAAAUAUUGUUGACAGAGCAAAAUUUUUAAAUGAACUCCACUCAGAAUCGCUUUUAGUUAGGAAUAGUUAAUUGUUGCGUACUGAUAUACAUUAAAUUACCCCUUCCCAACUUCUCACCUAUAAUAGUAGUACCCAUCGUGCGAAGUAUGACAGUCUUUUUAGAUCUGAAUGGAGCGAAGAAGCUUAUGACUUUACAAAGAUGUUUAUUUUUUUUAUCUGUGCGUAAAUUUUAUAUCAGAAAUAUUGUUUCGAUUUUUGAGUGUAAAACUUUUUCUGAAAGGAAAUCGUUGUUUUUUAUGAUUUUCUCUGGAGUUUUCUCAUUAAAUUUGUAAAACUGAAAAAAGGCGGAAAAACAGGAAAAUAUAAGAAAUGUGUUUAUUUUUUAAAAUAAAUUACGGCAUUCUUUUUUCUUGUGAUCAACUUUUCUAUCAGCAAUUUUGCUCUAAUUUAUAUUGACAGUAAAGUUUCUAAAAGCUUAUAAAAUAAUAUUAAUAAGAGGAAAUACGUCUGCGGUGGUACUUUAAAGAGGUAAUUUUUCAAUUUUCUCAGGUGUUUUAGCAGUAUACAUGAAAAACCGGGAAAAAUAUGGGAAAACCGUGAAAAAAUAGAACAACUGGGAAAAUUGGUACAGUAUUAAAUAAAUAUUGUUAAUGAAAAGAUAUAAAGUCUAUUUAAUUAUUUUACUAUAAUAUGGUGUAUAUAUUGUUGACAAAGCAUCACUAUCAACUGAACUCUGCUUAGAACCUUUUUUUUUGUAAGCAAUGGCUUAUCGUUGCUUACAGUUCUACAUUAAAUUACUUGUAACAACGGCUGCAGCCAUUCCCAUUAUCCUAGGAUUUCUUUUUUUUUUUUUUUUAAUAUGGUUUUAGUAGAAUGGAAAAUAUCAGAUGAUUAGAUGAAGAGUUUUGUAAUACUUUUUUUUUGGAAGGAAGGGGUUGUUAAAACAGCAUAAAAAUCAUUGAGGAAUACAAUUAAUGAGUCAUUAUAUG